AAACGACUCUCGGCAACGGAUAUCUCGGCUCUCGCAUCGAUGAAGAACGUAGCGAAAUGCGAUACUUGGUGUGAAUUGCAGGAUCCCGUGAAUCAUCGAGUCUUUGAACGCAAGUUGCGCCCGAAGCCAUUAGGCCGAGGGCACGCCUGCCUGGGCGUCACGCAUCGCGUC
rnacentral:rRNA from 1 species